GAUGAACGCUAGCGGCAGGCUUAAUACAUGCAAGUCGUGGGGCAGCAUGACUGUAGCAAUACAGUUGAUGGCGACCGGCAAACGGGUGCGGAACACGUACACAACCUUCCUUUAAGUGGGGAAUAGCCCAGAGAAAUUUGGAUUAAUACCCCGUAACAUAUAGAAGUGGCAUCGCUUUUAUAUUAAAGCUCCGGCGCUUAAAGAUGACUGUGCGGCUGAUUAGGUAGUUGGCGGGGUAACGGCCCACCAAGCCUACGAUCAGUAACUGGUGUGAGAGCACGACCAGUCACACGGGCACUGAGACACGGGCCCGACUCCUACGGGAGGCAGCAGUAAGGAAUAUUGGUCAAUGGACGGAAGUCUGAACCAGCCACGCCGCGUGGAGGAUGAAGGUCCUCUGGAUUGUAAACUUCUUUUAUCUGGGACGAAAAAGGGCUUUUCUAAGUCAACUGACGGUACCAGAUGAAUAAGCACCGGCUAACUCCGUGCCAGCCGCCGCAGUAAGAC
rnacentral:rRNA from 1 species